UCGCACACUGGUGGGGAGCGGGCGGCUUCCGGGCUUCCAGCAAUAACGAGGCCUGCGGGAAUGAGGAUUGGCUUGUCCACUGUGCUAACUGGACUGUAGGAAAAAAGAAAAGUCCGAAAAGAGAGAGCAGUGUCCAGUGGAACGGGCAGCUCUCCCAGGUCCUGCUGGCCCAGGCUUGGGGCCUGAAGUGUAUGCCCUGCCUGCCCACUCAAGAGGUAAGCACGCUUAAGAAUCCUUGAUCGUGGGGGCGCCUGGGGGCGGGGGUGCUCAGUAGGGUAAGCGUCUGAC
rnacentral:lncRNA from 1 species